GCGCAUGCGCAACUUCGCGGCUGCUUACCCGCUUUUCUCUCUCCUAUAUAACACAUCUACUAUGCCAAUUCGCGCUCAUUGCUCAUUGCUUUUCCGUGAUUUCCACGCUGUGCCCCUCAGACUUUUCAUAUGUCAUGAAUGUUUUUUUCCGCGAGAACAUUGAAACUUUUUUUUUCACCUGUUUACUGCGGUUAGUGACAUCGGAAACUGCUUUUUACAUUAACGGAAGAUAACUUAACCUCUUUUUUUUAUACCUGCUGCAUUUUCAAAUAUUUCACUCAUUUGUUUUUUUUUACAUUCUAUAGAAUAUAUACAUAUGUAUAUAAUAGGAAAUCAGGAGUAGAAUGAAUGGAAUGAAUCAAGAUUAGGUUACAAUCAUUUAUUUUGAUAUUAUUAAUGAAUUAAUGAACUCGAAGUAUAUGGUGAAAGUUCUUGUAUUAAAAAAAGGAAUGUUUACCAUAAUGAACAUAUUGUCUAAAAAAGUAAAAUGACUUUUGACAAAUAUUGCAGAUUUUGAUUAAAUUUUCUCGGUUCUUUUUUGGGUCAAGAAUGAAAUUUUUAAAAUACAAUUACAAUCGAGGCAUAAUUUUAUUAUGUCAUUGAAAAUAAAAUGGUACAAUUUUUAAACAUUAUAAGUACGAAUGUUACGAGAGAAAAUUUUGCACAAAGCUGGGAAAAUGAAUAACACAUUUUGUACAUGACCUGCGUUAUAAACAGUAGCGUAUUUUAUGGAAAUCGCAUAAAUCGUAAAAACAUUAAUUAGUAAAUGAAAAGAAGACUUUUAAAACUGUUUUACAUCCAUUUUAAUGUGAUACUCAUUUUGUUCUUUUGUAUUGUAAAGUCAAAUAACAGAGAUAAUGUUGGAGAAGUGUAAUUCAAUUUGUAGAACGAGGAGAAGGGAAGCAAUUACAAUUGUUUGGAUUAACAACAGAACGGAUAAUUCCGAUUUAUAUUGAAUAAAUCGAAAUGGAUCGAAAUGGAAAGUCAACCGAGUCGCCUGAAAAAUGGAUUUAAAAUAUAAUUUAUCACGUAUUACAAUCAAUUUGUUUGGAAAUUAUUAAUUUUCAACUUUAAUGAAACGAAUUAACUAUAAGAAGAACAGUAUUAAAAAAACUAAAUUGUUCUUAAAAUUUAAUAUUCUAUAAUCAAUGAAAUUGAAUGAACCAAUUUACAUACUAAAGUAGAAAAGUCAAGGGAGUCAUAAAUUAAGAGGUGGUUCGUUGUAAAUACGAUGAAAGUGUGGUCAAGUGGAAAAUUGUCGAUGUUCCGUAAGACUGAACCGAUCUCCGAUCCUUCUUGUUCGCGACUUCAGAGAGAAAUGAAGCUCCAAGCCAACUUUAGCAAAUAUGUUUCAAUAACAAAGUCGAAGAAAUUGUUACAAAGAACGUAAUUGUUUGUUAGAAUUUGGUUUUGAAUUGCAAAAUGAAUAUGAGGGACAUUAAUGAAUCAUACAGACAUGAGAAAAGUGACGAUAAAUGUUACGAUGAUCAAAAUUGAUGGCUUCAAUCAAAGCAGAAGUUCAAAAAAAGAAGGCAAAUAAAAAUUUCGAUGGCAGUUGAAAAGGCAGUAAUCAGGCUUUUAAAGUUUUUCUCGUAAAAAAAGUAGACCAUACAUACAAUUCUGGUAGCACACAAGUGAAGAAAAAACGUUGAUCGAUCAAAAUGAAAAGAAAAAAAAAGAAAUUGAAUGAAAAGGAGAAAAAAAGGAACAUUGCUCUUAAAAGUUGAAAAUGAAUUUCCUAUUCAGCGACAAAAAUUUAAAAGUGCGAGUAAAAAAUACGAAUUUCGAAUUGAGAGCGAAAUUGAGAGGAAAAAGAUUUUUAUUAUAAUAUUUUGUUAAAAUGAAAUGGUAAGAUAAUUAUUAUGAUUAAAAAUUUAUAUACUAAAAACAAGAUUUACAAUAUGAGUAAAGUCAAUAUUGAAACUAUCGCAAGAAUCGCAACUAUUCGAUCUUUAAAGUAGGUUACCUCGCACUCGAAUAAUAAUUAUUUGAUAAAACAAUGUAGAAUAUUUCAUUAUUAUACAAUCAAAUUAUUUUUUUAAAUUUAAUUUUUGUUACCUAAAUAAUGUUCUUA